GCUUUAACAUGGGGGUACCUGCU
rnacentral:miRNA from 2 species